GAUACAGUCCCUUUUCCCAGCCUCUCUUUCUGGGGCCUCCUGCAGGCUCCAGUGUAAGCUUCCUCCAAUCUCCUCAGGCCCAUCUGAUGCGCCUCAGGCACAGCACGUCCUCAGGAAAGGACACCAGCAGCCCAGCAGGAUGAAGGGUCUGUGGUCCCACUCCAGUACCAAAACUUCCUAUUACCGCAGUAGCCACAGUCCAGCCCAAACUUGUGGUCCUUCAUGGGCAACAGCAGGGAACCCGCACCUCGAAGCACUCUCUUUUGUCUUCCCAUCUGGCAGCUCCAGCUGCAGCCCCAGCCUCAUCUGCUCCAAGACAGCCAGCCCAGGGCACCACAGCACACUCAGCUGCAGGGGUCUCAUUACCCACCACUUGCACCUUGGGUCUCCCGGCCAGAAGCAAGUGGGCCUGGCUGCCGGCUCAGCUGGGUCCCUUCCCGAGGCAUCCGCUGCCUCUGCCUGUGAGGUGCAUGCUGCCUCCUCACAUGGUGCCUCUGCCAAAACUAGGUGGCUCUGCGAAAUGUUGAAAGCAGGGCCCAGCCCCCUCGACACUGGUGGUUUCUGCAACACAAACGGGUCUGGGGAGCAGAGAGGCAGCCCCAGCUCUGAGUUCCAGAAAUGCAUCCCUCAGCAGCAAAGUGGCAAAGAGAAAGGCCCUGAGCACCACACACAGCAAGGGGGUUUGAGGGGGCCUGAACACCAGGGGACCCCCAACCAGGCAGAGCACCCACAUGGUGACCGGGAGAGGCAAUACAAGGAGCAAUUCUAUUGGCUGGCACUUUUGUCUUUCCUUUCUGUCGUAUUUCUGGGGGACCAUUUAAGCAGUCACCCCCGAUUGCAAGGCAGGGACCCAGUGCCACUGCAAAACAAGGCAGGCUUUGGGUGCAAGUCUGGGCCGGCUUCUGACCCUGGCAACCCCACUGCCCACGUGGGCACAGCAAGGAGGAACCUGGCCUGUAAGGCUUCCUCGUGCGCUGUCCAGGGUUCUGCUGGACACGGGUCUGCUGGGCCAUCCUCCAGCUCAUCCUUUUUUAGGUCGGGCUUUUGAGGUCUUCCUCAUCGAUUCCUUGCCUGGAGUGAAGUCCACAAGAGUUUUAUCUUGGUUUUCCUCUAACAUUUUUGUAGUUUCAUAUCUUACAUUCAAGUCUUGGAUGUAUCCAGAGGUGAUGUUUGUAUAUGGUGAGAGAUAGGGGUCCAGUU
rnacentral:lncRNA from 13 species